UACGAAGGGGGCUAGCGUUGCUCGGAAUCACUGGGCGUAAAGCGCACGUAGGCGGCUUUUUAAGUCAGGGGUGAAAUCCUGGAGCUCAACUCCAGAACUGCCUUUGAUACUGAGAAGCUUGAGUCCGGGAGAGGUGAGUGGAACUGCGAGUGUAGAGGUGAAAUUCGUAGAUAUUCGCAAGAACACCAGUGGCGAAGGCGGCUCACUGGCCCGGUACUGACGCUGAGGCACGAAAGCGUGGGGAGCGAACAGG
rnacentral:rRNA from 1 species